rnacentral:rRNA from 1 species
GAUGAACGCUGGCGGCGUGCUUAACACAUGCAAGUCGAACGGAAAGGCUCCUGCUUGCAGGGGUACUCGAGUGGCGAACGGGUGAGUAACACGUGGGUGAACUGCCCUGCACUUCGGAAUAAGCCUGGGAAACUGGGUCUAAUACCGGAUAGGACGAUGGUUUGGAUGCCAUUGUGGAAAGUUUUUUCGGUGUGGGAUGAGCUCGCGGCCUAUCAGCUUGUUGGUGGGGUAAUGGCCUACCAAGGCGUCGACGGGUAGCCGGCCUGAGAGGGUGUACGGCCACAUUGGGACUGAGAUACGGCCCAGACUCCUACGGGAGGCAGCAGUGGGGAAUAUUGCACAAUGGGCGCAAGCCUGAUGCAGCGACGCCGCGUGGGGGAUGACGGCCUUCGGGUUGUAAACUCCUUUCGCUAGGGACGAAGCGCAAGUGACGGUACCUGGAGAAGAAGCACCGGCUAACUACGUG